GAACGAACGCUGGCGGCAUGCCUACCCCAUGCAAGUCGAACGAGACCUUCGGGUCUAGUGGCGCACGGGUGCGUAACGCGUGGGAACCUGCCCUUAGGUUCGGAAUAACUCCCCGAAAGGGGUGCUAAUACCGGAUAAUGUCUUCGGACCAAAGAUUUAUCGCCUUUGGAUGGGCCCGCGUUGGAUUAGCUAGUUGGUAGGGUAAAAGCCUACCAAGGCGACGAUCCGUAGCUGGUCUGAGAGGAUGAUCAGCCACACUGGGACUGAGACACGGCCCAGACUCCUACGGGAGGCAGCAGUGGGGAAUAUUGGACAAUGGGCGAAAGCCUGAUCCAGCAAUGCCGCGUGAGUGAUGAAGGCCUUAGGGUUGUAAAGCUCUUUUACCCGGGAUGAUAAUGACAGUACCGGGAGAAUAAGCGCCGGCUAACUCCGUG
rnacentral:rRNA from 1 species